UACGAAGGGGGCGAGCGUUGUUCGGAUUUACUGGGCGUAAAGGGCGCGCAGGCGGCUAUCCAAGUCAGGCGUGAAAGCCCCGGGCUUAACCUGGGAGGUGCGUCUGGGACUGGGUGGCUAGGAGUUCGGGAGAGGAGAGUGGAAUUCCCAGUGUAGAGGUGAAAUUCGUAGAUAUUGGGAAGAACACCGGUGGCGAAGGCGGCUCUCUGGACCGAGACUGACGCUGAGGCGCGAAAGCGUGGGGAGCAAAC
rnacentral:rRNA from 1 species